ACAAUCUUUAUUUGCAAAAAAUGAGACUGAAACAAUGCUAAUUGCGUAUGUUUGGUACUUGUAAGAAGGCUAUGAAGGAAGUGUUCUUCCCUUAUUUUUUAUGAAGGUAAGGUUGUUCUUGGAUUCCUGCUGCUCUAGAUUGCUUGGCUGCUCUAAUUUAUCACUUCAUGGCCUUAUGCUCCACCAUUAUCUUUGAACACUUGAUACUUAUUUACUUUUCUUCGUUGGCUUCUUUUUGAUAGUCAUCUGAUUUAAAAAUGCUAGCAUAUGCCAUUUUAGUAUCUUUCAGUUUCAGCAAACAUGUUGGAUUAUCUUGACAUAUGUUGGCAUUGACAAGAUAAUAUAGAUUGUGACUAUUAAUUACAAUGUUCACGCUCCGUCCUAUUUAAAUUCCUAUUUGGAUGGAAGUCAACACACUAAGAACUGUAUGCUUGAUGAAUGAUGUUCACAGCAAUUACUCGAAUUUCUUGGUUUCCGCGGUAUAGUUAUGCAGGUUAAGUUCUGUUUGCUCUUGCAUUCACUUGUGCAGACUGAUGGUUAAUUGUGAACUAUGUAUAUUCUGUAGGUUCUUCUUAGUGAGAUCAAACUAAGCACAAUCGUAUUUUCUCGAAUUAUACACAUGCUAUGAUUUUCAUGCUCUCUGUAGUAAUUAUGUUGAAUUCUCAUAAUUCCUUUUGCAUUAUUAUGCGAAACAAUUUGUAUGGCUAAAAACAUACUAAAUAAUCCCAUCUCCCCGUGUCGUCCCGAUUUGUUCCAGCUGGGCACUGCCUCGGCUGCAAAGCGUGUGUUGUCCCAUGAAGCAGGCCCUCCUUUGCAAGGCCGACGAGGAUAGCUUCAACUUCGCCGCCUAUUCUGGUCGAUGAUGUCAUCUCUACUCCUAAUGGAGCAGUUGAUAGUCUCCGCCGGUUAAUUUUCGUCCCACCAUUUUCGUCCGUUUUUUUCGUAGGUUAACCUUGGUAGAUUUUUUUUUGUUCCGUCCACCAAGUCCCCUCCGUUGGUUUUACGGUCGCGACAGAUCCGGUGGACUCCCCUCGAGAUCCCCAGAUCUCACACCGCCACCGCCGGUGCCUCCUCCUCUGGCGACGUGGCGAACGAGAGCAGGGCCGCAGCAGGGGUGGCUGCCUCGUGCCCCCGAUGUCCAGGAGUACGUCUAAGAUCGUCAUGUUUUCUUCCCCAUCGAGUUCGCCUGUUGACUGGUUCGCGAAGGUUUCGGCAGAUCCGUUUUCGCCCUGGAUGUGAGUCGCGUACCGGCGACUCUGGCGGUCCGACCUCGUGUGCGUCGUCCUCACCAUCAACCCCAAGUCCCUCCUCCAGUGGACCAUUGAACUCCACAACCAAUUUCUUCGACGCUGUCAUGCAGGUUCGAGUCCACACAGUGAGGAGAUUGAUUCAUGCGUGCUUGUUUCAGUCCAGAUCUCUAAAUAAAUGUUCCGAACGAGGAAGGUAUGGGAGAUUGGCAGUGUCAAGCAUGUGUUUCCUUACGUCUUCUUCUGUACUCCAGCUGGGUUGUAGUUUUUGAUACUACUCCUACAGGGCAUACUUUAGGGUUGCUGCAGUUCCGAUUAACACUUGAGAAGAAAAAUGAUGCGAGUAAAGAAUAGCUUCAGUGGUCUAUUGAAUCAGGUGUUCCUUAAUCUUGAUAAAUUCCAAUCUAUUGGGAAGCUAUGAUUGUUUUCAUGUGUAUUCCCACCGCCGUGUUGCUUUUAUUCUGAUUUUAACUCUGAAGAACCAACAUAUUAUGCAUCUGUUCAUUCCAACAUGACAAUACACUGUAUAAUUUACGAAAGAAGAUGGGCAUGAUAGUCUGUUCUUGGUUCAUUAGAACAUGGCCUACCAAAAUGUUGAGGAAUUAACGGCAUCCUGAAUAAAAGAUGAUUCCUUAAUUGUUUGAUUUGUUGAGUCUUACAUAUAAAUAGAUACUGUGAUCCAUGGAAUUCUUCCAUUGUUUGUAUUGAAGUUAAAUGACAAUAUGCUCUUCAUAUAUACUUUCAAUAUAGUAGAAUAUUCAUUUGGGAUAAAUUGACUUGUUCUAUUUGAAAGUGCUGCACCGGCACUAAUAAACAAAUCCAAUCUCAUGUCAUCUAUUUAUUCUGACAAUGGUGCCAUGUAGACUAGGAAUUAGAAAAAAAAACAAGUACUAGGAUACAUUGCAAACUAUGGAACGAAAUAAACCUACUUGAAAAGGCCUCAGCAGUUCUACGCAUGAGUCGGGUAAUGCAGCAUUAUAGGAUGAUCCAUUCAUAUGCAGACAAAGGCUUCAAUUUUGAUUUCCAUUCAGUUUCGUUCGAAUAUUGAUUUUUCUUUAGUUUAGAUCAGCUACGAUUUAGGUACUACAGUUGUAUAGGAUGAUCCACUGCCAUUCAUACAGAGGUUCCAGUCUUGAUUAUGUUUCAGUUGAAUUCAGUUUUUCGAGUCAGCCCAUCUCAGCUCUAUGUGACAUUUAUAAGAUGACUCCAUAAAAUUCACAAAAGACGGUAUUUUUUCCCAUCUCAGCCCCAACUGUUGCUUUCUUUGAGGUUUGGUCGUCUAAGUAGCUUUGCGGUGUUUUGGCCGGUGCAGGCUGGAGGACCCUGACUCGAAGGAGACGACAGAGUUCAUGGCGAGCGAGGCGGACUUGGCCGAGUCCAUGCUUUCCUGGUUAGGGAGAGCCUCCAACACAAGCCCGUAGCAACGCACGGGCGUUCUCCUCUCGAUUCUCCGUUGUGCGACGUCGCAACUUCUUCUCCAACUCUGCGGGUGUAGAGAGAGAGAGAGAGCAUCAUGACUGCCAUGGCUUGAACUAUUUUGCUGAGAUCCUGGAAAAAAUGAAUGGUAUAAUUCUGUUAAUUGGGAACCUUGGAAUUGAUUUUCACCUGAAAAGGUUGAUCGAGGGUCGGAUAAUGGACGUAACACAGCUGCUAGAGAAGAUAUUAUAAUAUGGAAAAUAGCAGAUGAGGAGGAAGCUGAAGUUGGUAGAUCAAUUGAGCAAGAGUUGCAGACCCAGGUGCACUUAUAAUUGAGCUGUUUGUAUGAGCAGUGCUACAUGCUUCCACUCUGCAUCUCUGUAGUUAUUUGGCUGAAGGUUACACCAAGAACAAGUGCCUCAGAUCAUUCAUUUUUCAGGCAGCGGAAGGAUCACUCCCCCUCCCCUCGCGUCGCUCACCUGAGGGUGACUCGAGGGUGCCCUCGCCCCGUCCGCCGUGACCACCCCUCUUCGGAUCUCACCGCCUCGACCAAAAUGUGAUUUGAGGCAAAGUCUCCGUUUGAAGCAAGGACAAUAAAAAUGAUGGAGCUUUUGGUGCUCAGCACCUUGAAAUGGAGGAUGCAAGCUGUUACUGCUUGCUCGUUUAUUGACUACUUCCUUUGCAAAUUCAAUGAUCAUGACACACCCUCCAUGCUCGCAUUCUCCUGCUCAACUGACCUCAUCCUGAGCACAGCUAAGUGAGCUGAUUUUUUGGUGUUCAGACAUUCAGAGAUUGCUGGAAGUGUUGCACUUCCUUCAUUUGGGGAGCACAAGACUUCAGUUGUCGAAGUGGCUACAACUAAUUGCAAGUAUAUAAACAAGGGAGUGUUCUAUGAUGUGACGUGACAGGAAAGAUCCUGAUGAAGUGCUUCCUUUAUGGAAUGCCUAUCUGAAGUUUGGACUAAGAGACAUGCUUUAAUUGGCUUAGUAAAAAAUACUUGCUAAAGAGAAAUAAGAUUCAAAGUAGAUGUUUUUAUUGUAGAUUAGGAUAUGUGUGUUCCGCCACCGGUUCGACUUCUCAUAUUAGUUCAUAUAUUACUACUUUGCACUAUUGUAGAGGGAUAAUGAGGGAUUGAGAGGCUACUACUAUUUGUAUUGCUGUCGAUGCUUGCACAAUGCUACUGCUUAUUAUACUUGGGUAUUUAUCUUUGGAAUAAAAAACAAUCAUUUUCUCCCUUCAAUCAAAUA